rnacentral:rRNA from 1 species
AGAGUUUGAUCCUGGCUCAGAGCGAACGCUGGCGGAAUGCUUAACACAUGCAAGUCGCACGGGGGCUUCGGCCUUAGUGGCGGACGGGUGAGUAACGCGUAGGAAUGUGUCCGAGGGUGGGGGAUAACGUUGGGAAACUGACGCUAAUACCGCAUAUCUCCUGAGGGAGAAAGCCGUGAGGUGCCCACGGAGCAGCCUGCGUCCGAUUAGCUAGUUGGUUAGGUAAAGGCUGACCAAGGCGACGAUCGGUAGCUGGUCUGAGAGGAUGAUCAGCCACACUGGAACUGAGACACGGUCCAGACUCCUACGGGAGGCAGCAGUGGGGAAUAUUGGACAAUGGGCGCAAGCCUGAUCCAGCAAUUCCGCGUGAGUGAAGAAGGUCUUCGGAUUGUAAAGCCCUUUCGUUGGGGACGAUGAUGACGGUACCCAAAGAAGAAGCCCCGGCUAACUUCGUGCCAGCAGCCGCGGUAAUACGAAGGGGGCUAGCGUUGCUCGGAAUGACUGGGCGUAAAGGGCGCGUAGGCGGCACAACUAGUCAGGCGUGAAAUUCCUGGG